UGCAAUGUGUGUGUGUACAUGGAAGAGGGGUAACAUUAGUCCAUCAUUUUGUAAAGCCCUUAAUAUAACUUUAUUUUUUACAAAAUUAUACUUUAGAUAAAGACCCUCCCAUCAUCAAAACAUUUUUUUUAAUGCAGGUAGGAGAACAUGACUGUUUUUGAUACUACUGACUAUAUUUGGUUUAAAUACUAGUAAGACUUGCUUUUCCGCUUAGCUUUAGAUUCCGCUUAAGGAAAUGGUGAAAGAUUUAAUUCACUGUACUUUUGUUAAGAAAGUAUGGAAAUGUUUGUCCAUGGGAACUUUGGUCUCCUGCUAGAAUGGAAAUUCAUUGGGGAGGGGGAACCGUUUCAUUUUAUUGCCUAAGAGCUGUUGAUACACUCCCUGCAUCUUUCAAAGGCAUCUUUCAUGCCAGACAAGCAAACUGUAGCUUGUGAAGGAACAGAAAGAGCACCUCUUACAGGAGUCAAUCUCGGCAAACAAGCAGAGCAGCUGUGCUAGGUGGCGAUGAGAUUACCACGGGACCCAGUCGCAGGGUUUUGUGUGGUCUAAGAGACAACUGGCUCUUCUCUCAGGGGGCCACUUGGAGGGAGAUGGCAGCAGUCACGCGUCCCCACUGCUGCCGGUGGAUAUUGUGGCCAUUUAGGACAAAAUCAGUACCAGAUUAAAUCAGAAAGUAAUAAAACGCAAGAAGACUCUCCGAGCUUUUAAAUCUUAAUGUGAGAAAUGAAAACAAAUGUCCUGGGCGUGUGUUGCUUGUUGCGUUCAAUCGUGAGGAAAAGGAAACAGAGAAAGGGUGCCUUCAACUUAGAAAACUUGCAGGGCGGUCAGUCUUUUCAUUUGAGAGCCAUUUGGGUGUGUUGUGAAAUAAAGUUGCAGAGUAGGCAUGUUCAGACCUUUUUUUUUUUGCUACAUUUAGUAGGAAAGAUUCUUCCCUCCCCGCCCCUGAACUACAAGAAGCCAGAGUUUUCUGUGCAAACAGGCAUUGCAAGAAUCAGAUUCACUUUGGACGACUCUUCACAUUCCAAGUCAUCAUUGCAUUAGGCAGCACAAUUCCAUCUCUGGUUGAUGGGCAGAAAAAGUGGGCAGCUUGCCAGGUAGACGUUUCCAUGACUCCCAGCCCCCAAAGGUGAUGCGUUUUUUUUUUUCCAGCUAAUUCAAUGAAGAGUGGGCUGAACUUUGGGUCUAAACGAGACAAUAGCUGCCUUCGCAGUAUCAGCAGAAUGGUUGAUGGGAACGCACUCUACAUUUGGCAGAGAACCAUGUGACCUGACGACUGAGAUUUUGUGAUGGUGCCAACGGAGACUUGGAUAGCAGCAACCGUCCUGACUUUUUUCUUCUUUUCUAGCCCGGCUCAGAAAAUGGUGGAUCUUAAUACUUGACUUUAGCCAGUCUCAGCAAGCGACUGAGCUUUGAAGCACAACUUCGCCUUUAUUCUGGGUUUUUGGCAGGCCACCAGGAGGCUGUCCCUUUCACGCCUGAUAAAUUCUGCUGCUUAUCUCUAAAUAGGAAAAGGGAAAAAAGGGGGGGGGAAAUAUAAACAGAAUAUGGAGGCAUAACAAGUGAAUCCUAAAAUUGUGUGUUGUGCAUUUCGGUUUUUUGCCUUUUCUUACUGCUGAUUUUUUUUUUUUUUAAUGUUCGUAUCAUUUCUGCUUGCUGAAGAAUCCAAGGAGUUGUUUUUUUUGUUUGUUUUUUGGUUUUCUUUGUGAGGUUUUUUGGGGUUUUUUUUUUUUGGUUUAUAAUGAACAGGCAUUUGAACUGGGCAAACAGGACGACAGCAGCAGUGAUCAUGAGAUCAUUGCAGCAAUGUAGCAAACUGGCACCCUGCCUUCUCACCCUUUUGGUUCAGGAGACCAACGUGUGCAAUCCUCAUUUCUGAAGUCAGCACAGCCUGGAAGGAUUCCUGGUCUCUCCCACCUUCGACCACUGCGCUGCCAGGGCCGGCAAGGAUUGGUGCAGCUCCUGCGCAGUGCUUUGUGCCUGGAAUACCGAGAAGGAAGAAAAAGAAGACGAGCACCCUCGUCCUUUUUGCAAGAAAUCACAGGAGCCCUGAAGAAAUGCAAAAAAAGAAACCUGAGUGUGUCCCACUCCAUGCAACAGUGAUGAAAAAAAUGAGACUUCCCUGCUCAAAAACAAAAACAAACAAAAAUCCAAACCAAAACAAACUAAAAAAAAAAAAAAAAAAGCAAACAUUGGCUUGUAUAACUCCAGAGGCAUCGAGCUUGGUAAAGCAGCUUUGUAAGGCUUCAUGAGCAAAUGAGCCUUCUUUUCCUUUAUUAUUUCAAAAAUAAGGCCUAAUUAGCAAUGUGUUCCACUUGGUGAAAUCGCACCUUUCAUAUCAGGGACAAACUUAAAAUGGAUAUGAGAAGUGAAGAAAGUGAUCAUAGGAGAAAAUCAUCUCAGAUCAACCACUGCAGAAGAACCAGAUUCCACUUCUGUGGCCAGGACUUUUAUGUUAUGGCUGGUCCGAUUGUUUUACCCUGCGUUCUCUGCUACUAAACCUUGGAUCAUUCCUAAAGUACAAAUUCUGUUCUCCAACCACAAACAAGGCUAAAAGAUCGGAGGAAAUUCAGUGAAUGUACAGGAUCGGGAUGGUGCAUUUUCCAAAGUAUUGAGCUUUCGAAUGCAACUAUUUAAGAUAGAGAAUCAUUUUUGUUCUUAGGUUGCCAGCCUUUUUAAGUUUCACGUUCAUUAAGUGGCAUUGCUCAAAUAGCUACAGAGUAUGCAUGGGAAUAUUUGGCUGUCUGAAUAGUUUGGAGAUUCAAAGAGAAAACUCGAGCUUCAGAGGUAUUAAAUUAUGACAUGCAAAAAAGUUUUUGUUUUAUUCUUAACUGCAACAGUAUAUAUUUAAAUCAGAUUGAAAGUAUUCUAUAUCCUGGAGCCAACUUAACAGUUGUGCUAUAUAAAAGGCUAAUGGGAAGCCAAAUUUCA